UACGUAGGGUGCGAGCGUUAAUCGGAAUUACUGGGCGUAAAGCGUGCGCAGGCGGUUGUGCAAGACAGAUGUGAAAUCCCCGGGCUUAACCUGGGAACUGCAUCUGUGACUGCACGGCUAGAGUGUGUCAGAGGGGGGUAGAAUUCCACGUGUAGCAGUGAAAUGCGUAGAUAUGCGGAGGAACACCGAUGGCGAAGGCAAUCCCCUGGGCCUGCACUGACGCUCAUGCACGAAAGCGUGGGGAGCAAACAGG
rnacentral:rRNA from 1 species